rnacentral:rRNA from 1 species
CCUACGGGAGGCAGCAGUGGGGAAUCUUGCACAAUGGCCGAAAUCCUGAUGCACCAACGCCGCUUGAUUCAUGAAGGCCUUCGGGAUUGUAAAACUCUGUUGUUAGGGAAGAUAAUGACGGUACUAACUACGGAAGCCCUGGCUAAGUAACGUACCAGCAAGCGCCGGUAAUACUUAUUCC